AUGACGCCAAAUAACAUUGGAAGGUCAUGGAAAUGUCAGGAAAUUUUACGUUUGAAAACUCUUAAUAACUUAUGGAAUUUUGAAAUUCAAGAAAACUUGUCACCCUCUGUUAUCAGUCCUAAACUAUUGCACUUCGGUCAUUUUUUAAAACUUGAGCAUUUGUUGACUUGUGUAUUCACUAACAUUUAUGGCCAUGGCAUUAAUAUAUCUUAUAUUUUGUCUGUUGCAGGGAUAGCCGAGAAGCACAUAACAAGAAAUUUUUCUAAGUAUGAUUUUCAAAUGAAAGUGCUAUUGUCCUGCUGUAAAAUGUUUCACGUGGUUGCAAAAACUUGGCAGCGUUAUGCAUCAGACAUCCUUCCUAAAAAGUACUUAUGAUGUACUCUUCAAAUAACUUGUAGAUUUUGGUUCCCAGUAGUUUCAUAAUAAGUGCUAUCAAUUUGAACUUGACAGACCCAGCUAUUCAUACAAAUUAAAAUUGAAGAUAUCCUGCCUUCAGACAUUUUUUUACACGUUGAGUGGAGUCAGAACUAGUAACUACAGAUCUGGUGCAGAACAGAAAUUGAAAGAAUUGACAAUAGUGGCAUAGUACUGAUACUUGUAGAAACUUGAAAAAUCAAAAACUUGAAGGAUUGGAGAAAACAUGUUUGCAAUUCAUGAAACAACUGCUUAGUUCACUUUCCAAUAUCAUAUAAAUGAAUUUAAUGGAUAGUAAGAAAUGCGUUUAAAUAAACAAUGAGAAAAAAUGUCCUCAAAAUUUAAUAUUUGAGCCAUCCGACAAGUUGAUUACACAUGCUUUGGAAUAAUUUUUAUUGCUGACACUUGGAGGGUAGCAAAGACGAUAGCAUUCAUACGGAAGUUACAACUUGGCACGCUACAACUUGUACAAUUCAUGACAGAUGCAUGCGUAAAUAUUCUGGAUGGUGCCACACAUCACGUUAUUAAUCAAAAUGCUAUAAACUCCAUCAAUUUUGAGUGUAUGUUAACAUGAUAAGGAGGUAUCAACCGUCAAAAUAAGAUUCAUCACACACCUCUUUCAAAUCUAAAGGCAGAUUCUUCAGCACCAGCUGCAACAUUAAUGACUUUAGCAUAUUGAUAACAAUCCAUCAGCCAUCAAAUUAGACUUAGUACCUUAAAUUAUUUACAAUACUUUGGUAUAAGUGACAGGAUGAUGACUAGGACCAUCAACACAUAACAAUCACCGAGCUAAUCCUGAGCUCAUGGUGAAAAAUACAAAAUAAAAUUAGUUCGUUCAAUUCGUUCAUUACUAAUUUUAGUCUAGUCAUGAAAAAACGAAAAAAGACAGAAGACCACUAGAAAGGGUAGGAAAUGAAGCACUUUCAAAUGUAUUUUUGAGUUAAUUUUGUUAAUGAAGUUAAAAUAAACAGAUAAUUGAGAAGUUUGUAUUUAUAGUUUACAUUAUAAAUAAAAUCGAACUCUCAGUUCACAAAAAAACCCAAACCAACACGGAUAAAAUCGAUCAGUAAAAGUAAAUUUUGAUGAAAAACGUAUGGAAAAGUUGAAUUUUUUACCCUGUCUAGUGGUACAUUAAAACUAAUGAUCAUAAUAAUAAGAAAAAAAACCCUCAGGGUAUAAGUCUACAGAUGACAAAUUUAUAAACAAGUCCUCUGACUGAGUUAGCGUAUUUUACAUGUUAUACUACUUUGUAUCAACUGUAUUUGAGCAUAAAUAGUUUGAUUAGAGUUCUUUCACUUUUAAUACAGAAGACAGGGUUGAAUACCCUUACCAUUAUCAGGCAGUAAUGUUUUUCAGCAGAGGAAUAAAGUACAUACUGUGCUUUGCACAACACUAAUUUCUUCAAGUGAUACCGCAUGCCCAUUCUCAUGACAUUUUUACAAAUGUGAACCUAAUAAAGUCGAUUGCUGUGACUAGAUUUAGAAGUAAAACAAACUCAGAGCAAUACAGCGAUGCUGACUAAUUUAAUAACGAACGAAUGAGAUAAAUUACAUUUGCCUACUUAAUUUAAUUUCUAAACAAUAACGUAUGUCACAGGAAGAGGGAAUCAUCCAUGAAAAAUGAGAGAAAGAUGGCAGACAACAAGUAAGGUAUGCGAUUACAUGAGAGUUUGAACAGGGUGGCUCAAGUCCAGGAAAUCCGGGGGAAAAACCAGGGAAUUGUAGUGAGUUAAGUAUUGGCUACUGAGAGAUUUUCCGUAUUAUACAGAGCAUGUGAAGUAAGACAGUUUUCACACGAAAUGAAAAAAAAACAAGAGUUCCUCCGAGAAAAAAUCCAGGAAAUCUCUGAGAGCUUGAAAAGAAGAAACUGCUGGACACCCUGUUACAUGAAAGUUACAUGGAUCAAUCCUUUCUUUUCUAUUAAAGUCCGAGGAAAAGUGUAGUCAGUGAGCAAAUUAAAUAAUGUUUUGGAAGACCCACUUAUUUUCUUUCAAAAGUUUUUGAAGAAAAAUGGAGUCAGUAAUCCUUAAUAGGAUUAAUAAAAUUACUGGUCAGGACCUAUCAAUGAUACUUGUCAAUUGCAUUCAUUCGAUUGGCAGGAAAAAUAAGCCUCCGCCAAGAUAUACUGAUAAAUAUUGAUCAAAAGACUUACAUUAUCCUUUGUUAAGGGGGCAAAUAUAAAUGACAGGGAACUUGGGUUGCCAAAUUCCCUGGGUAGGGCCUGGGUUGAGGUGUCCAAGUCAAAGAGUAAACUUAUCAAAAGAAUGAAUCGAUUUGGUGAAAUUCAUUGAUAAUGUCCACUUAAGAACAAGUAAUUACUUGGCAAUGGUAAUAAUUAAAAACUAGUGGUAUUUAAGUAGUCGUACCCUUAAUUAUGAAACUUUAAAAGAAGUAUGUAUUCAGCAAUGAAGGUGGUAAUUAAAUACAUUACUGUUACUUUUGGAUACAAUGAGCUGCAUCCACACAAGUAGCUUUACAAGAGCUGGGCAAUUUCAAAUAAGAUAAGGAUUGAUCCUAUUGAUCGAAAAGAGAGUUUGAGGGAGGAAAAGAGUGAAGUAAAAGAGACUGUCAGAAAAAUUGUUUGGAAAGAACAAAAGACUGUUGACAUGCAAAAAACGGUUUGCCAGAAUUAGGCGAUAUUUGGACAUCACAUCAACUGGAAAAUAAAAUAUUUUUUACACGUAACAAAAAAAGACUAACAGGCCUCGUCUCAAGAUACAAGAACUUUCUUGCGGAGCGUGCCAGUGUUCACAGAGGGACACUUGGACGCUAUUGGGGAGUGUCAUACGAGAUGACCCUCGGUUUCCAUAGACGAAUAUGUGAACGUCGAUAAAAGUGGUGGAGGAGCACUUAAGACUGUGACAUCGGGAGGAUUGCCCCUGUGUGGAGGAGAGGGAUGAUAGGAGGUUGAGCAAACUGUGCGGGAGGAGGAUACGCUGGGUACCUUGCAUCCACUGGAGCACUGUAAUAAGUUGAAUCGCCUAAAGGCACAAUACCUGAAAAUAUGAUGACAAUUAGAAAAUAGAAAAAAAUUGACAGUUUAAUGGAACUUUCUGAAACUCAUAAUCUCGGAUCCCUAAAUUUUUUUAUCUUAGAUCCAAAACAAAAGAGAUACCAUCUGUUAAGUGAAACUCAUUGGGAGAAAACCUCACUUCUACUUUUCAAAUUCUCUUCUUAACUUCUCUAUUAGCUUUGAUGACAAGAGGCAGGCAGAUUUUUUUUCUUUUCAUUUAUUCUUCUUAAUAUUAGUUGGCGUGAGUCCAUAGUAUUUUUCAUCUGUUACUUAAAGCAUUCCAGAAAAAAUGUAUUACAAAAAAAAAAAAUUCGAGUGAAAAGUUUGAGAGGGCGGCUCCAACUGUGCGUCUAUUUUUAUUUUUUUUAUCACUGAUUGCUGCUGAGUCUUUGUUUAGAGAAUUUUAAGGCCUUUAUGAAGGCACUGAGAACACUUUCCAGACAGAAACUUUGGAAUGUAUGGAGUUUGAAAAAGAAAAUACUUUCUAAAAAAACUUGCUCGCGAAACUGUUGUCCUCAUCUACAGAAAUUGGGACACCCAUGGAAUAUUACACACUUAUGAUCACCUGAAAAAAUCUAAGUUAAUAAGUAAUGUACUUGCCUGAUCCAUUAUGAUUGGCGUAAUUCCUAUGAAUUGUUCCAUGGUCAGGUUCUUUCACACCAUCGUAUCC
rnacentral:lncRNA from 1 species